rnacentral:snoRNA from 1 species
CUUCCAAAAAGUUCAUUUUUGGAGGGCAAGGGGUUUUUUAAUAACCUUUUACCCAGUGUGGGGCUGUUUGGAAGAAAAAAAGAGAAAGACCACACUCCACAGUGGCUAUACCACUUAGUAUAGUUCGCUACUAUUUUGUGGCCUACAUU